rnacentral:ncRNA from 2 species
AUAGAUCCGUGGGGGAGCCUUUAUGGCUGAGAGGUUUCCCUUAAUGAAGAGGGAAACGACCCUAUGAACCUGAUCCGGAUAAUGCCGGCGGAGGGAAAGGAUGGAUUUUCUUU